UCUUAUGAAUGAACAAAAGAAAGUGGUUUCUUAAGGUAGAAUCUACUCCUGGUGAAGUUGCUGUGAA
rnacentral:pre_miRNA from 1 species